GGUCCUUGUGCUGCUCUGAGUCCUGGGAAAGACUGGCGACGACCUGCGUUCCUCAGAAGAGGGAUGCUAAGGACCCUGAGCGCAGCCUGAGGACGGGCACAGCGGCAGGUGAAACGGAUUCGGGGACGUGGACACGUGGCGCUCGCUCUCCCUGGGGCACUGGGAUGCGGAGGCAAGUAGCAGAAAUAUAUGAGGCCUUGUGGGAGGUUGGCUGUCCCAGGAGCCCCGGAAAACACUGAGAUGUCCUUCCAAACAGGGACACAAACAGCUGAAGAGCUCCAGUUACUUAAGAAGCUGGACUGACAGACAUGGCAUCUGCUGACCCUGUGCUUUGGGAGCCACUGUAUUUUGAGGGCUUUUUGUCCACCAUCUACAGUUACCAGGACUAAAAAUACCUUGGAGGGUAAAGAAUCUUGCACGGGGCUUUGCAGCCUGGACUGUAUUUCUCACAUUUUGGUAUCAUAUGUCAAGGUAAUAGCCUUGUUACUGUGUUAAGCUGCAUAUUAUCUGCUCGGCCAAUGUUUCAUGUUAUCGUUGAUAAGAAGCCAAUUUGGGGGCUGAAACUCAUGAUUACAUCACCUUUUCCCUGCCAGUGUACCCAAUAACCACGUUGCCUGGGAUUCUCCUGAUAACACUCAGCCUCAAUAUACAGAACUAGCCACCUCCCCUGUGCAGAUGCCAGUGUUUCAUUUUACUCCUGCAAAUGGAGCUUCCAUCCCUGUGUCUCAGCCACAGUCCUACAUGUUACCUCCAUCUCCCACCCCUGGUAGUAUAAUUAGUGAAGCCCAAGGCCAGAGAACAGAGAUGGAUCUGUGUUGCACAGAUGCUGGUGUUUUUCUUUAAAAAGAAUGGAAUGUGCUGCUGCAGGUUCAAACUGAGCUGUGGGUAUGUUUCUAAGUCUUUGUAGCCACUGAUUUGAUGAGCUAUGUGAGCAUCACUGAGAGUGACUCACGUGCCAAUCAGUGGGCAGUUCCCUAUUUUAGGCAGGAAUGUAUGACGCCCCACCAUGGGCUGCCCCCUGUAUUUUAGUGAGUGUGCUUAAUAAGAGGAAGCUACUCUAAUGUUAGAGUAACUCCAAGGACUUGCUCUCACAUUAAGGAAGCUCUUCCUUAAGAUUAAUUUAUGGUUUUUCUCCUACACUUUUAGUUUCAUUCAGCAAUUUUCAACCUUUUUCAUCUCAGGGCGCACAUAAACUACUAAAAUUCUCCCCCUGAGUCCUUGGCUUAUUAUAUUUUUUUGCAGAUCUAACAAAAAAAAGGGGGGGUAUAAUUUUGAUUCAUUCACACCAGAUGGCUAUAGUUGUGUUGGCUGUUGUCAUUUUUUUACUUGACAAUCUAAGGGAAAAGAGGUCAGUAUUUAGUUGGCCCCUAACUAAAUAGUCAGUAUUGCAUUGUUUUCAAAAUUGUUGCAGCAUACCAGUUGAAAACUGCUGUUCUAAUUGAACCAAGGGCAAGUGAGUGUGUGUGUGUGUGUGUGUGUGCACGCGCGCGCGCCUGUGUGUAUACUUGCACACAAAUAAAACAUUUAUGGAAGGUUAUACAAGAAACUGGAAACUGAUUUCUUUAGGGAAGGAAACUAAUUAACUGGGGUAGAA